rnacentral:rRNA from 1 species
GCAAGUCGAGGGGCAGCAUUACCGCUUGCGGUAGAUGGCGACCGGCGCACGGGUGCGUAACGCGUAUGCAACCUACCUUUUACUGAGGGAUAGCUUGAAGAAAUUCGGAUUAAUACCUCAUAACAUUAUGAUAUCACAUGUUAUUAUAAUUAAAACUCCGGUGGUAAAAGAUGGGCAUGCGUGACAUUAGGUAGUUGGUGAGGUAACGGCUCACCAAGCCGACGAUGUCUAGGGGUUCUGAGAGGAAGGUC